rnacentral:misc_RNA from 1 species
CAAAGAAAACUAUCAACAAUGUCAAGUGAGCAAUUCACCAAAAAUCCGUAUUCUAUAUGCAAGGUAGCAAUAGUACCAAAGAGCGGAGGAUCUGAGUUUUUUCUCAUGUCUUUUGGUAUAACUAUUCCACGCGGGAACAAACAUUGUAAAUUAAUAGACUUCGAUUGCUUGAAGUUUCCAAGAAAUUUCAUGAGCAUACAGUACCAAUGACUAUCAAAUUUAUCUCCACCUACGCAGAAUUCGAGUACAAGUUCUAGCAAAACUGAAGCUUUCAUAAGUUUGAAUGUUGGCAAUUUAACACUACACUCAUAUGUGAAGCUAGUUAAAUUAGGAGUAUGCAAUUCAAUGUCAAUCAAGUCUAAGCACCGUGAUAGUGAAAGAUACUUGAGUCGGUCACUUGAGAUCUUGACUUUCUGCAAUUUUAAGCAACCCCUUAAGUGAAAUUCUUCAAGGUUGGGUUGAUUACAAAGAAGGUCUUUUAGCCAUCCAUCAGUGACAAACAAAUUGACGAGACACAAAUACUUCAAGGUUUUUCCACAAGUUAUUUUAACUACUUGUAGCAUCCAACGACAACUUUCAAUGUAAAGAUUUUCAAGAUUUGGUGCUACAAUAUCAACCAUCGUUAGUUCAGCAAGACAACAUAGCAAAACCGUCUUUAGUUUUAGUAAAUUCCUUGCGAUUUGUAAACUGCCUAGUCCCUGACAACUAGCUAACCUUAAAU